GUAUCAUCUCUGCUCAGUUCCCAGGCUUGUAGAGACUCUCUCAAACACCUCAGGACUUGCCUGGAUGCAGCUCCCCAACCCUUCUCAAAACAACUGUGUCUGAGGAGGUGUGAACCGACAGGAAGGAGCAGGAUGAAAAAGUGGAAAAAGAGAUGGUGUUUGAAGCAAAUUUCUUCCAUCCUACUCCCAUGGUUCAAAUCCUGGCUGCACUGAAAUCAAGGAGAGUUUUGUCGGUGGUUUCAGCUCAGCAAGAAUUUCGCUCUCUUGACAUCUCCGGUGGAGGUUGACUGCUAGCUAUGGAAGAAGUAAAAGGAAAAUCUCAAAUGACCUUCCCUAAAGAUUUUCUUUUUGGGUAAGGGG